AUGUAUCGAUCUAAUUCAUAUAGUAUUGCAAGAGAAUCUGAUGAGUUCUGUGUUGACAUUUCAGCCACAGUAGAAGCUGCUUCUUCUUCAUCUAUGAAAAUGGCAACUUCUAAUGAAUUGCCAUUAAUACAACGGUCUGUUUCUGAUGGUUCAAAUUCCAAGAAGGAAAUUCCUUUUUAUGGCAAGUCAUUAAUAGGACAAAAAGCAGUUCAUCUCAUACCUGUUGUGCUGAUCUUUUGUGGUUUUGUUCUUUGGAUUUUCUCUCAUAAUUGA